rnacentral:misc_RNA from 1 species
GUGAAUCAUCAAAUUUUUGAACGCAAAUUGCACUUUCUUGUGUGCCGGAAAGUAUUCGUGUUUGAGGGUCAGUUAAAUAGAAAUCGUUGUUGUUUCUGCUUUUCGUUGUUACGCGUCGGGAUUGAGUUGUCUUACCUUCGUUUAAGUGACUUAAAAUUUUGCAUGAUUUUCUAACGGAUUUAAAUUUCUUACUUACUUUUGGUAUAUCGAAUACUUUAUUUGGUUCGUUCAUCCUCUUUAUUCUCACCUCUAAUUUUUCAUUAAAUGU